rnacentral:rRNA from 1 species
AGCGAACGCUAGCGGCGGGCUUAACACAUGCAAGUCGAGCGCUCUGCUUCGGCAGGGAGCGGCGAACGGGUGCGUAACACGUAGGUAACGUACCCUCUGGUGGGGAAUAACUUCGGGAAACCGAAGCUAAUACCGCAUGCGCCCUUCGGGGUGAAAGACUUCGGUCGCCAGAGGAUCGGCCUGCGGCCCAUUAUUUAAUCCUAGUUGGUAGGGUAACGGCCUACCAAGGGUACGAUGGGUAGCUGGUCUGAGAGGAUGAUCAGCCACACUGGGACUGAGACACGGCCCAGACUCCUACGGGAGGCAGCAGUGGGGAAUAUUGGACAAUGGGCGAAAGCCUGAUCCAGCCACGCCGCGUGAGUGAUGAAGGCCUUCGGGUUGUAAAGCUCUGUCGGGAGGGAAGAAGAUCUGACGGUACCUCCCAAGAAAGCACCGGCUAACUCCGUG